rnacentral:tRNA from 1 species
GCCUGGGUGGCUCAGUGGUUGAGCACCUGGCUUUGGCUCAGGCGUGAUCCUGUGGUCCUGGGAUUGAGUCCCACAUCAGGCU